UACAGAGGGUGCGAGCGUUAAUCGGAAUUACUGGGCGUAAAGCGCACGUAGGCGGCUUGGUAUGUCGGGUGUGAAAUCCCCGGGCUCAACCUGGGAACUGCAUCCGAAACUGCCUUGCUCGAGUAUGGGAGAGGGAAGUGGAAUUUCCGGUGUAGCGGUGAAAUGCGUAGAUAUCGGGAGGAACACCAAUGGCGAAGGCAAGCUCGCUGGGACGGUACGUGACGCUGAGACGCGAAAGCGUGGGGA
rnacentral:rRNA from 1 species